UACGUAGGGUGCAAGCGUUGUCCGGAAUUAUUGGGCGUAAAGAGCUCGUAGGCGGUCUGUCGCGUCGGCUGUGAAAACCCGGAGCUCAACUCCGGGCCUGCAGUCGAUACGGGCAGACUGGAGUUCGGCAGGGGAGACUGGAAUUCCUGGUGUAGCGGUGAAAUGCGCAGAUAUCAGGAGGAACACCGAUGGCGAAGGCAGCUCGCUGGGACGGUACUGACGCUGAGGCGCGAAAGCGUGGGGAGCAAACAGG
rnacentral:rRNA from 1 species